UAGGGAAUCUUCCGCAAUGGGCGAAAGCCUGACGGAGCAACGCCGCGUGAGUGAUGAAGGUCUUCGGAUCGUAAAACUCUGUUAUUAGGGAAGAACAAAUGUGUAAGUAACUAUGCAUGUCUUGACGGUACCUAAUCAGAAAGCCACGGCUAACUACGUGCCAGCAGCCGCGGUAAUACGUAGGUGGCAAGCGUUAUCCGGAAUUAUUGGGCGUAAAGCGCGCGUAGGCGGUUUUUUAAGUCUGAUGUGAAAGCCCACGGCUCAACCGUGGAGGGUCAUUGGAAACUGGAAAACUAGAGUGCAGAAGAGGAAAGUGGAAUUCCAUGUGUAGCGGUGAAAUGCGCAGAGAUAUGGAGGAACACCAGUGGAGAAGGCGACUUUCUGGUCUGUAACAGACGCUAAUGUGCGAAAGCGUGGGGAUCAAACAGG
rnacentral:rRNA from 1 species